rnacentral:rRNA from 1 species
CGUACACUCCUGCGGGAGGCAGCAGUGGGGAAUCUUGCGCAAUGGGCGAAAGCCUGACGCAGCCAUGCCGCGUGAAUGAUGAAGGUCUUAGGAUUGUAAAAUUCUUUCACCGGGGACGAUAAUGACGGUACCCGGAGAAGAAGCCCCGGCUAACUUCGUGCCAGCAGCCGCGGUAAUACGAAGGGGGCUAGCGUUGCUCGGAAUUACUGGGCGUAAAGGGAGCGUAGGCGGACAUUUAAGUCAGGGGUGAAAUCCCGGGGCUCAACCUCGGAAUUGCCUUUGAUACUGGGUGUCUUGAGUAUGAGAGAGGUGUGUGGAACUCCGAGUGUAGAGGUGAAAUUCGUAGAUAUUCGGAAGAACACCAGUGGCGAAGGCGACACACUGGCUCAUUACUGACGCUGAGGCUCGAAAGCGUGGGGAGCAAACAGGAUUAGAUACCCCGGUAGUCCCAU